UCAACUUUCCACUACUAAUUGAACACAAAUUUAGUUGCUUUAAUUUUAUUAGUUACAAUUCCCAUCAUGAAUUCUAAGUUCAUCAUUGUCUGUGUUCUAAUGACUCUCUUGCUGGUUCUACGGCCAGCCAUAAGUGCUGCACCUUCAUGUGAUGCUGUUAUAACUAGCUUCUCGCCUUGUUUAUCAUACUUGAAAAACGUUGGUUCCGUACCUUCAACAAGUUGUUGCGAUAACAUCAAAGUACUUGACCAACAGGUGACCGAGAAGCAAGAUAGAAAAAGUGUGUGUCAAUGUAUUAAGCUUGCCGUUCCUAUUAUCGGUACCGUUAACAAUACUCGUGUCGGAGAUAUCUCAAACAACUGUGGAUCUAAGUUUUAUAAAAUCCCACUCAUUUCGCCUGACAUGAACUGCGACAAUGUUGCAUGAGAAGACGAAGGUCUUGCAAGAAAUCUUUCAAUGGAAAUUGGGAUAUGAAGUACAUGAAAUAAAAGUAAUAAAUAAAAUAUAAUAAGAAUGAUUGUGGUUACUUGCUUGCUUGCACCAUGUACUUUGGAGGUUAUCAAUAUUAACUUAAAAUUAACGUAAA